rnacentral:tRNA from 1 species
GCGGUGCUCCGCGACCGCCGGCUGGGCCGGUUCUGGCGGGACCGGGAGCCCGCCGAGUGGUGGGAGCCGUUCAAUCUGCUGCACCGCA